GCCUUCUUCUCUUCUUCUUCUUCCGAUUUCUAGGGCUUUGAGGUCUGGAGGUCGUCGAAGAGGCCCCGGUUUCAUUGGGCCCAAUAGCUUCUCCAUGGCAACAAGCCCCACUUGCCUGACACGCUCUCUUGACAAACCAAACCUAGUGAAGAGAUCUCGGCUGUUAGCAAGGACUCGGCAAGUUUCUGAAAAGGAGAGAAGUUAGUCCCUUGUAAAAGAAUUCUACACAAAGGUAAACUCCACUUCUACACUGAUGCCUUAAUACUGUAGCAAGGUUUAUGUAAAUUGAUUUCCCUACCAAUAAGAUUCCUGAUCUGAAUAUAAAAAUUGUUAUGGAUUUUAGUCUUGGGGGUUGAAGAGAGAGAGAGAGAGAGAGAGAGAGAGAGAGAGAGAGAGAUCACUGUCAUGCUCAAGACCAUGAAGAAGAAAAGCUAGUUACGACCAGUGUUAUUGAAGCUUGAUAAAUCAGAACAGCCAAAAUGAUGAUGAAAUGACAAAAGAACUGGAAUAGCAUGAAAGGUUAUCUUGAUUAAUUUUGACCUAAAAAAUGCCCAGAAACAAGAUGUUGCAAUAAAACAGGGCAUGAAAGUAAAAAGGGAAAACCAUUGAGCAGUAUGAUAAAGUUUA